AGAACGCUGGCGGCCAGCUUAACACAUGCAAGUCGAGCGGGGAACUUCGGUUCCCAGCGGCGGACGGGUGAGUAACACGUGGGUAACCUACCUCAUAGUGGGGAAUAGCCUUUCGAAAGGAAGAUUAAUACCGCAUAAUACUCGAGAAUCGCAUGAUUCUUGAGCCAAAGGAUUUAUUCGCUAUGAGAUGGACCCGCGGCGCAUUAGCUUGUUGGUGAGGUAACGGCUCACCAAGGCUUCGAUGCGUAGCCGACCUGAGAGGGUGAUCGGCCACAUUGGAACUGAGACACGGUCCAGACUCCUACGGGAGGCAGCAGUGGGGAAUAUUGCACAAUGGGGGAAACCCUGAUGCAGCAACGCCGCGUGAGUGAUGAAGGUCUUCGGAUCGUAAAACUCUGUCUUAUGGGACGAUAAUGACGGUACCAUAGGAGGAAGCCACGGCUAACUACGUGCCAGCAGCCGCGGUAAUACGUAGGUGGC
rnacentral:rRNA from 1 species